UUCGUGGAGAUAUAUUAGUUGC
rnacentral:siRNA from 1 species